rnacentral:lncRNA from 12 species
AGUCUGGAUAAAAAACUUGGCUAACCUAUUUUUCCCCUCUCCUGAACAGCCAAUUUUGAAGCACUCUGCAGAGAUCUGCCUGGGAGGAAAAGCAGAGCCAACCACUGAGAACUGAUAUCUGAGCUCUGCUGAGGACUGCUGCUCUCCCUGCCUUGGUGUGGGAACUCCUGAGCUUCCACUCCCUGGGCUGGGAGUGUGUCUUCUCUCAUCCAGCCAACCCAGAGACCUCCUAGGAGACCUAGUUUGGGGCCCAGGUGAAUGUCUGUGGAAUUGUGAGUUUCACAUAUCCUCACCUGUGGUUCCAGCCAUGCCAUGAAGACCCUCUGGAGCCUAGAAGGUGCACAUGGAUUGGUGAUUCCUGCCCUGCUCUUGCUGGUGGGAGCUUCCAGAUUUCCAUGGUGAUUUCAACCCCUUGUGCAUGAGCGUGUGAGGAAAAUGUUCCUUGGUUCAUACAGCAGAGAUCUUCCAUUUUACCUCUAGUUUGGCGUAACCUUUAGCUGCAGAAUAACAGAAAAAUGCCUCAUAGAUGGGUGAUUCAGAAUGAAAAUAGAAAUGCCAGCUUCAAAUUACAGGAGAGUGGCGUCAGAGAAAGCUUUUCACCCACAACACAG